AUCGGAGCUGUAGCCACUGGCCUAUGCCACAGCCACAGCAACGCGGGAUCCAAUCUGCAUCUGUGGCCUACACCACAGCUCACGGCAACGCCAGAUCCUUAACCCACUGAGCAAGGCCAGGGAUCAAACCCGAAACCUCAUGGUUCCUAGUCAGAUUCAUUUCCUCUGCGCCACGAUAGGAACUCUAGCAUCUGUUUAAGUCUUUAUUUGGAAAAAAAACAGCUAAGUGGGUUAUAGUGAAUUUUCCUUACAAACAAACAUCCAUGCAUCACGUGCCUCCCAGAGUCUGUCUAAUGCAUGUAAAAAAUACUCAUUAUUUCCAGGCCCUCAUUGGGAAAAGGGGACAGCAUCCCCAUGAUGAAGAGACUGAAGAACGUAAUUCACAAGCCUCAAAAGUGAGGGCCCUGAAUUGUCUCUCUAGAACUGGCAGCAUAGCAGGCCUUCAGCCCAGCCCCUUCUGUGCCAGCCUCCUCUUCUUCGUGUGACUCCUAUUGCCAUGGGUUCUAGACAUGCAUCAGUCUCAUCCUGGCUGCAUGUUAGACUCUCUAGGGAGCUUCUCAGCAGUGACCUGGCUCAUGCCCAGAUGGACUGAUGUAAUUCAUCUGGGGUGGGCCCAGACAUCAGUGGUUUUCUAGAGUUAGGUUUAUCGAGAUGUAAUUUACUCGUUGUAGAGUUUACCCUUUCUUUGGGUACAGUUCUUUGAGUUUGAUACACACAUACAAAAGCCUUUACAAUGUUGUGUUAAUUUCUGUUGUACAGCAAAUCAUUCAGUCAUACAUAUAUAUACACACUCUUUUUAAAAAUAUUCUUUUCCAUUACAGUUUAUCAUAGGACAUUGAAUAUAGUUCUCUGUGUUAUACAGUAGGACCUUGUUUUUUAAAGGCAGAUGAUUCUAGUGUGCAGCCAGGGCUGAGAAUCAUGGGCAGCAGGGCUGCCUAGCAGCCUUUAAUAAAUCUCAGGUACACAGGAGAGGAAAUCUGAGCUGUUCUGUUAAUACAUUCAGGGAAUCCAUCAGUUUAUCUCAUACUUAUGCUUCCUUUAUUAGCUGAGAGAAGACCAGUCUAUUGCUUGCAGUUUGCUGUGGUUGGUUGUUUGUUGUAGUAGUGAUUUGAGGAGAGAAGGGCAUGCAGUGAUUGGGAGGCUCUGAGACAUUGCUUGGGGCAGGGCAGACCCCCUCUUGGUGGGCAGUGGGAGGUCACCACUUACAUACGCAGCCUUAUCUAGAUGUCUGCACUGUUCUUAGCAUCGUGGACACUAAUGGUGAGCUAAAGAUACAGUGCUCCUGCUCAAUUGGGGCUACUGCAAAUGUGUGUCGAAUUAGCAGGGAACAAAUAAUACCUGUACAAAGAAGAAAAUAUCCUGCAAUAGAAAAAUGUUAUGCACUGAGUCAGGGUGAUAUGGCAGAGCAGCAGAGGCUACUUUAGGUUGCGUGGCCCAGGAGGCCCUCUCUGAAGAGAUCACAUUUACGCUGAGACCUUUAUGUCUUGAGAAAAGUAGCCAAGUGGAAUUAAGGAAUAUUCCAUCCAAGUGCAAAGGCCUUUCGGUUGUAACUAAGGUUUGCCAGUGUUAAAAGAGAAGGAAGGCUUCUGCUUCUGGAGGGAUAGGGAAGCGGAGAGUGGGGGUGAUGAGGUGGGGGAGGAGGGCAGGGGUCAGAGCUCCUGGGACUUUGGAAAAUGACAUCUAGGUAGGUUCUGAUACUUUUUAAAGAAAAUUUUAUUAAGGUUGAUUUAUAAUGUUCUGUCAAUUUCUACCACACAGCAAAGUGACCCAUUUAUACAUAUAUAUGCGUUCUUUUUCUCAUGUUGUCUUCCAUCAUGUUCCAUCACGAGUGAUUGGAUAUAGUUCCCUGUGCUGUACAGCAGGAUCUCACUGCUUAUCCACUCCAAAUGCAAAACUGGGCAUUUCCUAACCCCAAACUCCCAGUCCAUCCCACUCCCUCUCCCUCCCCCUUGGCAACCGCAAGUCUAUUCUCCAAAUCCAUGAGUUUGUUUCUUUUCUGUAGAAAGAUUCAUUUAUGCCAUAUAUUAGAUUCCAGAUAUAAGUGAUAUCAUAUUGUAUUUGUCUUUCUCUUUCUGACUUAACUUCACUUAGUAUGAGAAUCUCUAGUUCCAUUCAUGAUGCUGCAAAUGGCAUUAUUUUGUUCUUUUCAUGGCUGAGUAAUAUUCCAUUGGGUGCUGUGUGGAGAAUGGGUUGCUGGUGAAAAGACAGUGGCUUCCUUACCCUGUGGGGAUGGAGAUCAGUGGACCCAUUCAGGUCAACUUUUAGAGGCUGGCUUUUGAGAGGGGCUCCUCUGGACUUUCAGUGCACUGGGUGUGGGAAAUGAGAGAAAGAGAAGAAGCAGGAAUGUCUCAAGUUUUGGAAGUGAACUUCUGAUGACUUGUGGUAUAUUUCGCCUUGUCUCUCUAUAUACAAUCUGCAUCUUUUUUGUACAUGUCACCAAUCACUACCUGUAAUUACAGCUUGCUGGGCCCAAAGAUGUUAAGCCAUAACCCCAAUAUCCACAACAUGGCAACUGAGCAGCUCUGCCUGGGCUGCAGAUUAACCCAAUGAAGGAAGAAAUCAGGCUGCGACUAAGAGAAAUCAGUGCUUAGUGGUGGGAAUAGGGUUAAUAUGGAAACUUGUGAUUAAUUACUAUAAUACUUACCCCCAAAAAGCUCAGUUUUACAAAAAAACCUGGCUCUGACUAUGCUUUAACAGUGGUAAAAUAAGAUAAAAUAGGAAACUACAAGUUUCAGCGAAUGUAUAACUCUCUUGAACAAAAAAGAAAUGUGGAGAAUACAUGAAAGCAGUUAUGUAUGUUGUGAAACAUAAAUCAUGAAUCUCUUUAUUUUGGAAAAUGUAAUUAGCUGCAGGUGUUUCAUCAGGAUAGAAAACCGAAUCAAGGACACCGAGGACCCCUUUGGGGUAACAGACUACAGUUCAGUUCAGGAUGUGUACCUGAGUAGGUGUCUGCUCUUACUAUUUCUGUGUUCUUGUGGCCAAGGUCACCACUGUACAUAGCUAAAUACUCAUUUUUACUCUCCUUUCCCUGGCCAGUAUUUCAGGUGUUGUGGCUUUGUUUUGUUAGCUGCAUUUAAAAAAAAAUUAUGUCAAAAACUUGGCCUUUUUGUCUCCUUAGCAGUGCUUUUCAAACAGUGCCUCCAUCCUACUUCCCACUCCUUUCCCCUGGCUGAUAAUUUCUGGGAGAAAUUGGACAGAGGAGAAAGUAUAUAAAUUUAUAUGCAUGCACACAAUCAAAUCUUAGAAACGCAUGCGUCCUCUCAAAGCAUGAAAUAAAAACCUUCUUCUACCACCCACCCGUCCCCCAGCCCCACCACUUCCCUUUGCCACACACAGACUUUUCCUGUUCUUGUGGUAACUCAGAAGCCCACUGUAGAUUAGAAAAGUGGGCAAAGACCUUCCUGAUUGAAAUAUAUCAGGUGUAUUUCGGGGGGGGGGGCAUGGCCUGUGGUCUGUCCAUGAUGAAUAAGGCUUCAUGUGUUCAAGCUUAUGGCUAGAAAAUGACAAAUGGCAACAUUAAUAUUCUCAUUGUUCCUUUCCUCUGAGGACGUUAUAGGGACAGCCAAGGUCGUGCAACCAUGUAACCUGAAUGUUGUUUCUCCUUAUUUCCUCUCCUAUGCAGACUGGUGACAUGACCUAUAAUAUAUGCUCCACUCUCCUCUGGUCUGCCAAACUCCCUAUCCCCAAAUAGCUUUUAGGCCUAUAUAGAAUCAUAAUGAUACAAGAAGAAUGGAGGAACAGCAUUUAUUUCUUAGACCCCUCGUUUCUGACUGAUGUUGUGGGCAAUAGAAUGUCCUACUCCUCCUUCUCUGGCAGAGAAAUACACCAAGUGGUGGCAACAUGGUGUGAGAAACAUACACCCCUUCAAGUCUGUGACUGGCUUUUUUUGUUCCAGGGCCCAUUAUCACUGGAGUCAUACCCUGGGGAGGAGGAGGGAUUGGCCAUUCCUAUCACUUCAGGCACAUACUAAUCACAGCCAGGUGCUCUGGUGUUUAUUUUGCUAUUUCUGUGUCAGUUACGUUUACACAAACACACAGACACACAGACACACACACACACGCUUCCAUGAUCACAGGAAGCUCUUCUGGACAGCACGAUAAUGUAACACCUUUCCAAAGUAAAAUGAAAAAAAUUGUCAUUGCAUUUUUUAAAUUAUUUUAGAUUGGAGCCUACAUUUUAUCUUAAAUCAGCAUUUGGUUGAUCAGAUAAAAAGAAGAGCUAAAUGCCAGUCAACAAAUAAUACAACCAAGAACUUCAUUUAUCCACGUAAAUCAUGUGGAUUGUAACUGUUGACUCUCGAGGGUCAGGGAGAAGAAUUAGGCACAGGUUUAAUUAGAACCAACUGGAAUCAAUCUAAAAAGGGGAACUUUUCUACAAGGAGAACACACAGUGAGCCCCAAAUCGUUUCUACCUUCCCAGUUCUGUGUUGAUGACAUUGCGUGAUCCUUUGUGCUCUGUACUGCUUACUUCUGAUGCAUCUUUAGCUUUGAAGGUCAACACUGCCCUUAAAGCAUUUCAGUUCCCCUCCUUUCUUGGUUUGGAUUAAGUAAAAGUGAUGCAUGAAGAAACCUUUCUCCAAUUUUAUCGGGAAAAGGGGCCAAGACACAGAUUUUUAAAUGCUCUGCCCUCCCACGUCAGCUGGACCCAGAGUGCAGUCUCAGUGCAGGGAGUCCCUGAGUGUAGACACAGUCCGUAUCUCUUCUCUUACCCACCCCGUAUGGACAGGGUGCUUAGGAGGCUUCUGGAAGGAUGGAGGGAAGGUGGCUCUUAUUAUUGAAAGAGCAUGAGCAUUUUGAAACAAAACAAGCUAUUUUACCUCAGACCAUGGCAGGUCAUAAAUCUGUCCAUCUUACCCCUUGGUAAGCAUGUGAAAUAAAGGGCCAUCCAUUGUGAGCCUGUGUAUGCCCAGGUGAGUGUCCUUGCAAACUAAGUCACAUUUGUUUACAGCAGCAGUGACUCGUGUCACUAAACAUCAGCCAGAGUUUUUCUAACCCUUUG
rnacentral:lncRNA from 1 species